AUACGUAGGUGGCAAGCGUUGUCCGGAUUUACUGGGUGUAAAGGGCGUGUAGGCGGUCUUGCAAGUCAGAAGUGAAAUUCCUGAGCUCAACUCGGGCGCUGCUUCUGAAACUGCAGGACUUGAGUGCUGGAGGGGAUAGCGGAAUUCUUAGUGGAGCGGUAAAAUGCGCAGAUAUUAGGAAGAACACCGGUGGGGAAGGCGGCUAUCUGGACAGUAACUGACGCGGAGGCGCGAAAGCGUGGGGAGCAAACAGGAUUAGAUACCCUGUGAGUCCACGCCGUAAACGAUGAAUACUAGGUGUAGGGGGUAUCGACUCCCUCUGUGCCGCAGUUAACACAAUAAGUAUUCCGCCUGGGGAGUACGGCCGCAAGGUUGAAACUCAAAUGAAUUGACGGGG
rnacentral:rRNA from 1 species